AUUGAACGCUGGCGGCAUGCCUUACACAUGCAAGUCGAACGGCAGCGGGGGAGAAGCUUGCUUUUCCAGCCGGCGAGUGGCGAACGGGUGAGUAAUACAUCGGAACGUGCCCUGUAGUGGGGGAUAACUAGUCGAAAGAUUAGCUAAUACCGCAUACGACCUGAGGGGGAAAGUGGGGGACCGCAAGGCCUCAUGCUAUAGGAGCGGCCGAUGGCUGAUUAGCUAGUUGGUGGGGUAAAGGCCUACCAAGGCGACGAUCAGUAGCUGGUCUGAGAGGACGAUCAGCCACACUGGGACUGAGACACGGCCCAGACUCCUACGGGAGGCAGCAGUGGGGAAUUUUGGACAAUGGGCGAAAGCCUGAUCCAGCAAUGCCGCGUGUGUGAAGAAGGCCUUCGGGUUGUAAAGCACUUUUGUCCGGAAAGAAAUGGCUCUGGUUAAUACCUGGGGUCGAUGACGGUACCGGAAGAAUAAGGACCGGCUAACUACGUGCCAGCAGCCGCGGUAACAC
rnacentral:rRNA from 1 species